GGUGUGGUUGUUGCUGGCCCUCUCGGGGGCAUGUGCACACCCACCAUCCUCAUCUCUCCACCUGUGCACCUUUUGUAGACCUGGAUAGACUUUCCGAGGCAACUCGGUCGGGAAGAUUGCUGCGCUCUGUGAGCCAGCUUUCUUUGCAUGUCCAGGCCUAUGUUUUUCAUAUACCCCUGUAGAAUGUAACAGAAUGUAUCAUUGGGCCUUGUGCCUAUAAACCUUAUACAACUUUCAGCAACGGAUCUCUUGGCUCUCGCAUCGAUGAAGAACGCAGCGAAAUGCGAUAAGUAAUGUGAAUUGCAGAAUUCAGUGAAUCAUCGAAUCUUUGAACGCACCUUGCGCUCCUUGGUAUUCCGAGGAGCAUGCCUGUUUGAGUGUCAUUAAAUUCUCAACCUUAUUAGCUUUUGCUGAUAAUGGAUUGGAUGUGGGGGUUUCUUUUGCCGGCUUCUUCACAGAGGUCAGCUCCCCUAAAAUGCAUUAGCUGGUGCCCCGCGUGGACCAUCUAUUGGUGUGAUAAUUAUCUACGCCGUGGAUGUCUGCAAUCAUAUGGGUUUUGCACUGCUUCUAACCGUCUGUUCAUUCGGACAAUACAUGACAAUUUGACCUCAAAUCAGGUAGGACUACCCGCUGAACUUAAGCAUAUCAAUAAGCGGAGGAAAAGAAACUAACAAGGAUUCCCCUAGUAACUGCGAGUGAAGCGGGAAAAGCUCAAAUUUAAAAUCUGGCGGUCUCCGGCCGUCCGAGUUGUAAUCUAGAGAAGUGUUAUCCGCGCUGGAC
rnacentral:rRNA from 1 species